AACAGAGGAUCGUAAAUGUCCAGCACCUUUGGAGGGACUUGAAUCAUCACGUAUUUGUUGCUCACGUACCGGGGGUUAGCAUCCGUCCGGACGUAUCCACGUGGAAUUGAAUGAGACACACCAAGUGAAGCAGAAAUAAAAACUUCAGUUUUGUUUGUGAUCACUGAAAAAGAAGUUUUUAAAUAAUGAAAUAUAAAACAAGGAAUAAACAUCAGACGGAGAAGAGUAAAGACAUUGGACAGAGCUUUUACUUAAAAAAUAUUCACCAAAAGUUGAAGGGGAAAUCAGAGAGGCUUGUACGCAGAUGAAGUAUAUAUUUUGUGAGGUAAUAUGCAAAAUAGAUUUUGUAUUGAUGGAAUGGGAAAAAUAAUACAAAGUUGAAAAAGGGUCACGUUUUGUGUUGGUGAGGAAUAAACGAAUAAACAAAUCCAUGGAAUAUAACUAGAAAAGAGGAAGAGAGAAAGAGACUAGUUCAUGAUGGGUAACAAGGGUUGAUGAAUAUAUAUAACACGUGAACAUGUUAAGGUAGAGGGAGAAGUAAAAUGAGACCCAAGGGGUGAUUAGCGAGACAAAAGCCUGAGCCGCUACAAGUGGAACCAAAUUGGUAGAAAAUUGAUAAUCAACCACCAAUAUAAACCUCAAAAACUAACCAACACAUUCAACAAAAAUAAAAUUUAA